rfam:Pseudomonas putida S11 PPS11_c100, whole genome shotgun sequence.
AACGUGAAGAGUUUGAUCAUGGCUCAGAUUGAACGCUGGCGGCAGGCCUAACACAUGCAAGUCGAGCGGUAUGAGAGGGAGCUUGCUCCUUGAUGUCGAGCGGCGGACGGGUGAGUAAUGCCUAGGAAUCUGCCUGGUAGUGGGGGACAACGUUUCGAAAGGAACGCUUAAUACCGCAUACGUCCUACGGGGAGAAAGCAGGGGACCUUCGGGCCUUGCGCUAUCAGAUGAGCCUAGGUCGGAUUAGCUAGUUGGUGAGGUAAUGGCUCACCAAGGCGACGAUCCGUAACUGGUCUGAGAGGAUGAUCAGUCACACUGGAACUGAGACACGGUCCAGACUCCUACGGGAGGCAGCAGUGGGGAAUAUUGGACAAUGGGCGAAAGCCUGAUCCAGCCAUGCCGCGUGUGUGAAGAAGGUCUUCGGAUUGUAAAGCACUUUAAGUUGGGAGGAAGGGCAGUAAGCUAAUACCUUGCU